rnacentral:lncRNA from 1 species
CAGUCUCCUUCAGACAGAUGAGCUCCAAGAGUCCCAGAGUAUGUUUCUGGACCUCCAAGGCCAAGACUACAGCCAGUUCAUGGUGCUGUCAGCCUGAGGGGGCCUUUGGGGGCUGCCAGGCAGACACCCUCUCUCUCAUCACCCUUCCUGUCUGUCUUCAGAACCAAGCACAAUGGUUGGCUAUAUAAAAUGCCAGGAAAUAAGUGAAAGUCCAAGAUGGUAAGAAAACUUUCCAGAAGGCUAAAAGGCACAAACAAUGUGAAAUGGCAAUAGAGAGGAAGACUUCUCUAACUGAAAUAAGUCAUCAGCCAGAAACUGUCAAGAACCUUGUAACAAACCAUACCCACGGAGCUGCUCAGCGAGAACUGUGAGCUGCUUUGAAGAGAGUCUGGCAGAGCUCCGCCUCUGCUUGAACCUGGUGCUCAGACGGCCUGUUGGGAGACGGAUCCCCACCAGGUCCAACCCACCUGCUCAACAUGAGCUGCAAAUUAAAACAUAUCUCUCUCUCUUUUUUUAAAAUUUUUUGUUUUUAUAGCAGUAACAUUGGAUUAUAACAUUAUAUAACUUUCAGAUGUACAUCAUAACAUAUUUCAAAUUCUAUGUAGAUUACAUCAUGUUCACCACCCAAAGACUAAUUAUAAUCCAUCACCACACAUGUGCACCUAAUCACCCCUUUUGCUCUCCUCGCCCUUCCCCUCUGGUAACCACCAAUCCAAUCUCCGUUGCUAUGUGUUUAUUUGUCAUCGUUUCUAUCUUCUACUUAUGAAUAAGAUCAUAUGGUAUUUGACUUUCUCCCUCUGACUUAUUUCACUUAGCAUAAUAUCCUCAAGGUCCAUCCAUGUUGUCACAAAUGGCUGGAUUUCAUCCUUUCUUAUGGCUGACUAGUAUUCUGUUACAUAUAUAUACCACAUCUUCUUUAUACAUUUGUCCCUUGAUGGGCACCUAGGUUGCUUCCAAGUCUUGGCUAUUGUGAAUAAUGCUGCGACGAACAUAGGGGUGUAUAUAUCUUUAUGCAUUUGUGUAAAACACAUCUCUUACAGAAUCCAUUUCUAAUGGAUAUUAAAGGGAGAUUCCCCCAUGUUUGUUUUUAUUAACAGAUACCUCAUCUUUUUUUUUUCUGUCUUAUUCUCCUAAUUCCACGAAUAAAAGAGUAAGUGUAUUUAUUCAUUCAUUUAAAAAAAAGUGAAUACCUACUCUAUGCUAGGUAUUUUGCUGAGUGUUGUGGAAAAAAGAUGACAAAGACAUUGGCUCUAUCCUAGCAAGGCUCACAGUGUAGCCAGGAAGAUAAUUUAUAAAAAGUAUCUUUUCAUAAAGAUAAGUGCUGUAACACACCCUUGAACCCUUUCCUAUUUCAAGGCAGCAGGCUUCUCAACUGUGUGCAAAUAGCAACAUCGUUGAUCACGUCCUUUGUCUGGAGUGCCCCUCUAUUAACUUGCUGCCAACCCAUCAGAUAAUAGCAGUAAUUAUGGUGUGAGGUUGUUUUUUUGUUUUUGUUUUUUCUGGUUCAUUAAGCUGGAAAUGUUUUGUUUCUCUUUCAUAUCUCAACUGGGUUUUGUUUCCUGUCUAAUUAUCCAUGUUGGUAUUUUAAAGUGAGCAGGAGAAUAGAAUUUAUUUAUUUUGUUUACAGUUGUGUCAUAAAGGGUAAUUUAUUUUCUUCUAGUUGAAGGAAACGAGAGACAGGGAGUCAAGCAACCCAACGGUUGUCUGUCUAGGUUUGCCAAAACUAAAUAUGACUUUGAACGAAAAUCUUAUUGAAACAAGCUGGACCAGGUAAUUUCUAAGGGUCCUCCGACUUUGAUAAUCUAUUACUUAUACGUGAAAUUAUACAUUAGGUGGGUUAACAUUAAAAAUCAAUUGUCAGGGGCCGGCCCCGUGGCUGAGUGGUUGAAUUUGCAUGCUCUGCUGCAGGUGGCCCAGGGUUUUGUCGGUUCGAAUCCUGGGCGCGGACAUGGCACCGCUCAUGGAGCCACGCUGGGGCGGCGUCCCACAUACCACAACUAGACAGACCCACAAUUAAGAAUACACAACUAUGUACCUGGGGACUUUGGGGAGAAAAAUGAAAAAAAUAAAAUCUUUAAAAAAAAAAUCAGUUAUCAGCAACUUAAAAGGAAAAUCUUAAUACAGUGAUGGAAUAUAGCCUGAUAUUUAUAUAGAACAAUUCAUCUGAAACAGUGGAGAAAUAUGUUCCAUACUGUCACACAUUGUUUUCAUUAAUACAACUCACAUAAGUCAUCUGAUAUCCAACAAGUGUUGGCAAUAGCAAAUAUUUGGUAGACGUUCAAAGUUUGCCACAUGUUUUCACACAUAAUCCUCACAACAGAUGGGGAAACUGAGGCUUGGACAGUGUAAGGUCUUUCGCCAAAGAUGUGCAGAUAGCAAAGGGUAGCCUCGGAGAUCAGGAUUCUCAUUUACAUCUUCUUCCUCAGAAUUCACUGCUUUUUAUGUUUCAAUGUGGCUGCUUCCCAAAGUGCUUCACAUAUUCAAGGAAAUUCUCAGGAGAAUGUUGCUUCAAACCACAUGCUGGAGGGGUUGACCCUAUUGCGUUUGUGUCGAGGCUGGUCUAGGAAGGGGGGUGGCUCACUCAGACCUUCCUGGCCUGUGGCCCUCUGAUGGUUUAGGGGCAGUUGAAGGCCGACCUGAAGUUGGGAUCUACCGGUUCAGAUCUCUUCUCCAGGAGGCUGACAAUAUGCAGGUUUGAAGUGUGUCAGCAAAAAUAGCAAAGGAAAGAAAUGAUUCUAGUUAAAUAAGGCACUGGGUUCUUAAAGACUCCACCCACAACUAUCAUUGAAGGGCUUAUUCAGAUUUAUUCUAUAUAGCAAAUGGUUUCUAAAUCAGCUGGAAUUAUACGCAAGUCUGCGUGUUGUUUUUCACACAUCACUUUGUCCUCUAACGUUCCUGCAACAUGCAAUGUCUUUUGGUGUCAGUGGGACUGUAUUUUACUCUCUGAAAAUCUUCAUGAUCUUCAAAGCAAAAGGCUUUGAAGUUUUCUAAUCUUUGACACUGUACCUCGAAAAGACAAUAGUUCUUACACUGCAGUCUGGUGUGUCCUCCUCAGCCUCAUUUUCUGGAGGUUAAGGUUUCCAAUGUCUACCCUGCCGAGGAGAUAUGUCCCCAGCCUAAUUUACUGAAGAUUUAUCAAGCGUCUAUUUUCCAAAAGCUUCUCCAUUGAUGAGGCAAUGUAUGUUUGUGUGAGGCAGGAUUAAAAGAAUGCAUAAGUGAUUGUGGUGUCAGUCACGCAGAGAAUGUAACAACCUCCCUACCGUACAAAAAAACCUAAGUGCUGUGGGAACGUGUGUUGCAAGGGUGUGUUUU